rnacentral:rRNA from 1 species
CCCUUAGAUGUUCUGGGCCGCACGCGCGCUACAAUGAUGAAUUCAACGAGUUUAUAACCUUGGUUGAAAAGCCUGGGUAAUCUUUUGAACUUUCGUCGUGAUGGGGCUAGACCCUUGCAAUUAUUGGUCUCCAACGAGGAAUUCCUAGUAAACGCAAGUCAUCAGCUUGCAUUGAUUACGUCCCUGCCCUUUGUACACACCGCCCGUCGCUACUACCGAUUGAAUGAUUUAGUGAGGACUUCGGACUGGGACCGAUGCGGCUUUCGGGCUGCGUCGGUAUUCUGGAAAGAUGUCCAAACUGUAUCAUUUAGAGGAAGUAAAAGUCGUAACA